UACGUAGGGUGCAAGCGUUAAUCGGAAUUACUGGGCGUAAAGCGUGCGCAGGCGGUUAUGCAAGGCAGAUGUGAAAUCCCCGGGCUCAACCUGGGAACUGCAUUUGUGACUGCACGGCUAGAGUGUGUCAGAGGGGGGUAGAAUUCCACGUGUAGCAGUGAAAUGCGUAGAUAUGUGGAGGAAUACCGAUGGCGAAGGCAGCCCCCUGGGAUAACACUGACGCUCAUGCACGAAAGCGUGGGGAGCAAACAGG
rnacentral:rRNA from 1 species